AAUUUUGGACAGUGGGGGCAACCCUGAUCCAGCCAUCCCGCGUGUGCGAUGAAGGCCUUCGGGUUUUAACGCACUUUUGGUAGGGAAGAAAGGGCUCUGGCUAAUACCUGGAGCUGCUGACGGUCCCUGCAGAAUAAGCACCGGCUACCUACGUGCCAGCAGUCGAGGUAAUACGUAGGGUGCAAGCGUUGAUCGGAAUUACUGGGCGUAAAGCGUGCGCAGGCGGUUCGGCAAGAAGGAUGUGAAAUCCCAGGGCUUAACCUUGGAACUGCAUUCUUAACUGCCGGGCUAGAGUAUGUCAGAGGGGGGUAGAAUUCCGCGUGUAGCAGUGAAAUGCGUAGAGAUGCGGAGGAAUACCGAUGGCGAAGGCAGCCCCCUGGGAUAAUACUGACGCUCAUGCACGAAAGCGUGGGGAGCAAAC
rnacentral:rRNA from 1 species